GACGAACGCUGGCGGCGUGCCUAAUACAUGCCAGUAGAACGCUGAAGGAGGAGCUUGCUUCUCUGGAUGAGUUGCGAACGGGUGAGUAACGCGUAGGUAACCUGCCUGGUAGCGGGGGAUAACUAUUGGAAACGAUAGCUAAUACCGCAUAAGAGUAGAUGUUGCAUGACAUUUGCUUAAAAGGUGCAAUUGCAUCACUACCAGAUGGACCUGCGUUGUAUUAGCUAGUUGGUGGGGUAACGGCUCACCAAGGCGACGAUACAUAGCCGACCUGAGAGGGUGAUCGGCCACACUGGGACUGAGGCACGGCCCAGACUCCUACGGGAGGCAGCAGUAGGGAAUCUUCGGCAAUGGACGGAAGUCUGACCGAGCAACGCCGCGUGAGUGAAGAAGGUUUUCGGAUCGUAAAGCUCUGUUGUAAGAGAAGAACGAGUGUGAGAGUGGAAAGUUCACACUGUGACGGUAUCUUACCAGAAAGGGACGGCUAACUACGUG
rnacentral:rRNA from 1 species